rnacentral:rRNA from 1 species
GAUGAACGCUAGCGGCAGGCCUAAUACAUGCAAGUCGAGGGGUAAGUCAGAAGCUUGCUUUUGACACGACCGGCGCACGGGUGCGUAACGCGUAUGCAAUUUGCCCUGUACUAAGGGAUAGCCCGGGGAAACUCGGAUUAAUACCUUAUGGUAUCACUGAUAGGCAUCUUGAAGUGAUUAAAGAUUUAUCGGUACAGGAUGAGCAUGCGUAAGAUUAGCUAGUUGGUGAGGUAACGGCUCACCAAGGCGACGAUCUUUAGGGGUUCUGAGAGGAUGAUCCCCCACACUGGUACUGAGAUACGGACCAGACUCCUACGGGAGGCAGCAGUAGGGAAUAUUGGUCAAUGGGGCGAGAGCCUGAACCAGCCAUGCCGCGUGCAGGAUGACGGCCUUCUGGGUUGUAACUGCUUUUACAUGGGAAGAAAUGGCCUUGCGAGGCAAAUUGCCGGUACAUGUGAAUAAGCACCGGCUAACUCCGUGCC